CCAGUCAGUGAGGUUGACCUAUAGACGGGUUAGCGGACAAUGUCAAGAAAUCUAUGUGCGUUAUAUGGGACAGAAGGCCAUGUGUUGUUAUGGUUGUGGAUGGCCAGAUAGCUAGCAACAAUGACUAGAAACUGCCAUGUAGUGAAUUCGAAAGUGGCUGGUUUCAGCUCGUUUGAUCUUGUUCUUGAUACCAUGUUUUGACUGAUGUCACGUAUAUGCUUAUAUGGCAAAAAUUUGCUAGCUAGCUAGCUAACCAACAACUAUAACGGUGUAUUUGAGAGACAAGUGCUCAUUGUGCAACUUUAUUUAUGUUUUAGAUCAACAAUCUAAGCCAACCCUGGCUGUUUUACCUUAUAGUUGCGCACGUAUCGGUUUUGUUGCUAAACAACCAACUCGUCUAUAUCUGUUUCAAGUUAACCCAGAAUGUACACUUUUGGGGGAUAGUGCUAGGACCAACACUGAGUGGGGACUUUGGUACAGUUUGACAGCAUACAUCGCUGCUGAUGACAGUAUACAUUUCCACUUCAACAAAAUACCUGCCAGACUGGUUCUUUCUCUUUAUAUGAAGAAGAUGAGGUGGAAAGACAUGAGCACAACUCUACAGCAAGAGUGAUUCCGACUACGCUUGGACCAUUCUGGCCGCGCGCUUCUGGGACCGUUCUGGCUACGCUUCCGGGACCGUUCUGGCUACGCUUCCGGGACCGUUCUGGCUACGCUUCCGGGACCGUUCUGGCUACGCUUCCGGGACCGUUCUGGCUACGCUACCAGGACCAUUCUGGCUACGCUACCAGGACCAUUCUGGCUACACUUUCUGGGCCAUUCUGACUAUGCUUCUGGGGCCAUUCUGGCAACUCUGCCUCUACUCUGUUUAGAUGAAUUACUAGAAACUGCAGAGUGAUAACUGCCACCUCACUGUGCUCAUCACGGAUUUGGACAACAUGCUAUUUAAAGGUAAUUUAAGAUGACAUAUGCAGGGUUUACUAUGAAUCUGGUCUCUGCGAGCGAACUCAGGAACUUUGCCUUUAAAAGGUGCAUUGCAUACAUUGCUGAUUGGUUAAAAGUCAAUUCCACAAGUCACCACCUGCUAAAUCUAUGAUGUUAAAAUGCCUAUUUACUCUGUUCCAUCUGACUGCGCAAUCCACCGUCUCAUCAGCCCAGCCAGGCAAUUUAUAAACUUGAUCUCCACUAUAAAAAACUUCUAGACAUUAUCUCACAUUUACUAAAGAUUUUCAUUUAGUUUUCAACAGUGGAGAUUUGUAAUAACCUUGCUGUCUGUCUCUCCGACAUUUGCAACAUUGUUUCAAUAUUAAAAUUGGAUCUCCAGCUGUCCUAUAGUAAGGAACGUGUCGGGAGUCAGGACGAGACAGACAGACAGACAGGCAGCUUCUCUUAGCCAGUCUUGAAUUAUGAAUCAGCUGGCAUCAUUUUUAUGGAUAUAUACAAAGAAAUAUAAAUUGAAAAAAGGUACCGCGAAAUGAAGUAGUGCUAGUGUGCAGUCUUUCCAGCUUCAGUUUGAAGUGAUUGUGUUAGCUGUGUUGGCUAGCUCCUGUGAACAAAAGUAUCCUGAUGAGAGAGCACAUUUUCUAUGCCAGGCUAAAUUGUGCCUCAUUAGCUCAUUGUUAUGGAUGUAUCCAAAUAAAUGUCACUAGAAAACAGUUUAAACAAAUGCAAAUGCAGCUACUGUUAUUCUGGCUGCACUGUUUGAUGUGCUGUAAAUUAGCUGUAGUUGACUAGCUAGCAAGCAAGGGAUAAGAACGUUGCCAGCUAGUAUGACAAUGGAACAUUUAGAACGGACAACUGGGUCGCGUCCAUAGAUACAGAACAAAAAGACUGAACGACUGGUUCGCAUCUCUGGCAACCGAAUCGAUAGAACAACCAGCCGGCUUGGGUAACAACCCUAGAUUUGUGUCGGGACUAUAUCUUGUGGAAGGGUGAAAUAGUAUGAAUAAAUUCAGCAAAAUAACGUUUUUAAUUAAAUUAUGUAUAUCAUUAUUUGAAUAUGUUGGUUAACCCUUUGUAUGCCCUCAAUAUUUUGGCACGGUUUGCUGGCCCUGGACUUCGUCUUGGGCCUAACAACACCCGUGCCAAUAUAUCCUCCAAACACCGGCUUCUCGGGCAUUAUCACUUAAUUAUUCUAUCAGCAUUGUGCAAUGGGGAUAACAGUUCUAACUACAUAUAGUACAACAACAAUUUUUUUUUUUUAAAUAAUGAAAUGUAUGCAUUCACUACUGUAAGUCGCUCUGGAUAAGAGCGUCUGCUAAAUGACUAAAAUGUAAAUGUAAAUAUAAUAGAUAAUCUUUGCUAUAUUACAAAGCAUCAUGCCCCUAAGCCCGACAUCCACCUGGCACAGGAAGAUUUAAGUGUCCUCCCCAAGUCCCUCCCCAAUAGUACCCGCAAAACACAAGUCUCAACGUCAACAGUGAAGAGGCGACUCCGGAAUGCUGGCCUUCUAGGCAGAGUUGCAAAGAUAAAAAGCCAUAUCUCUGAUUGGUCAAUAAAAAGAAAAGAUUAAGAUGGGCAAAAGAACACAGACACUGGACAGGGGAACUCUGCCUAGAAGGCCAGCAUCCCGGAGUCGCCUCUUCACUGUUGACGUUGAGACUGGUGUUUUGCGGGUACUAUUUAAUGAAACUGCCAGUUGAGGUCUUGUGAGGCGUCUGUUUCUCAAACUAGACUCUCUAAUGUACUUGUCCUCUUGCUCAGUUGUGCACCAGGGCCUCCCACACCUCUUUCUAUUCUGGUCAGAGACAGUUUGCACUGUUCUGUGAAGGGAGUAGUACACAGCGCUGUAUGAGAUCUUCAGUUUCUUGGCAAUUUCUCGCAUGGAAUAGCCUUCAUUUCUCAGGACAAGAAUAGACUGACGAGUUUCAGAAGAAAGGUUUUUGUUUCUGGCCAUUUUGAGCCUGUAAUUGAACCCACAAAUGCUGAUGCUCCAGAUACUCAACUAGUCUAAAGAAGGAGUUUUAUUGCUUCUUUAAUCAGG
rnacentral:lncRNA from 1 species